ensembl:lncRNA
UGCUAAGCUAAAAGGCAGAAUGCUACAGGCAUGGCCCUAAAGAAUGUAGCAUCAUGGGCAGUGUAGUCCGUGCUGCAGGGAGAAUGGACUACCAUACACGUUAUGUGUCUGUGAGCGAGGGAGGGAGAGAAAGGAAAAGUCCGAGCUGUCACGGAGCAAAAAUGGGAGCUGGAAGCAUGUAAAUAUAAUAAUAACCACUGCAGCCAAGAAGAGUGCCUGACGAGCCCAUUUUUGGUGGCGGUAAUGCACCAUUUUGCUGUUUGCCAACCGCCAAUAAACCCUAUAAAGAAGAAGAGUCACUGUCGCGUUGUCCCUCAUGCUGUGUGGAUCUCCCUGUGUUUCCGGAUCUGGCACACUGUUUCCUGAUGCCGUGGAGCCAGCACCGAAGACUGUGCACAGCCCUUUUAGACGAGGAGGACCCGGGACGUUUGAGUCCGGGCUGAUCUGGUCCACGGCGGCGGGAUUCAGUCUGAUGAUCCGAACCACCAGUGAGACGUCUGAGGGUACGAACACUGAAACCAUGCUGAAGGUAGCAUUUGUGCUUGGAUGCCUCCUGAGCCUCACUCUGACUCAACCUAUGGGUAUGGCGCGCAAAAGACUUGUGCGCUCAAGCUCCGAAUCUAACUCUGGAUCAGGGGAAGCCAAUCAACAGUUAAACAAUCAACAGCUGCAGCUACUCAUACAAUUACUACUUGCCAGCUUAGCAACAACAACCACUACUACAGCUGCAACCACCGCAACAGCUGCAACCACCCCUGCUCCGGCUACAAUGUCAGGUUAAAAACUGACAUUUAGCUAUUGAAUGAAAGUCAGCAUGCAGUGAAACUGUCAAUUUGUGAUAUUUUAAUGAGAAUACAUAGUAGUGUCUACUAAAUAAAAUUUAUGAAUAGAAAAUGUGUGUUUUUCUGUUUGUAAGAAAUACAAGUACCUCAGCUUACCAUUAUAUUCCCCUUUCAAUACAGAGUUUACAUCACACUAUAUGUAAUUAAAGCAGCUAUUUAGGUGUUUACUAACGAACACUGUUGAUCUAAAAUAGAGUUUAAAUUAUGGUACAUCAAGAAUAUUACAUAAUAAACUUAAGUUUUCUCAAAUGUAGUAGAUUGUGCUUCCGAGGUCGGUACCAUUAACAUGAAAGCUACAUUCCUGGUGGGGUUUUUCCGGUGGGAACAUUCAUUGUCAAACAGUUAAGCAACGGAGGGUCAGGGGGCCAAGUUAGGACAUAAAAUGAUAGCCCGUCAGUAUGGCUCAUUAUUUAAGACCAUUUAUAUACAAGUAAGAGUUUAAGAUUAAGAUUUCAGAUUCCGAUAAGAAUUUCAAAUCACCUAUAUGGAAACCAGUCUGGAGUGGUGGAAAUUAAGAUGAGAUGUUUAACCAGAUAAACUGGAAGAGAUGGAAAGAUAAAGGUCUACGCUUCCCUGCUGCCCGUGCGAUCAAAGUUUAGAUAAGAAGAAGAAAAUGGCUGCAUGAUUUAUUAUUUUGUUAUUUUAGAUUUUAACUUUUAUUGAAGUGGUUGCCAUAAAUUUUCGGACAGCGUGCAUCAUUCAUAAUGCAAAGAACAAUGUGCCAGACGUUUCAGUCGCAGUUUAUUCAUUUUUUAGAUGUUAAUUUGUCAUAUUUUCGUAAUAAAUGAGCGUCUUUUAUAGUAACAUGACUUCAUAUUAUAUUUAAAGGGAACCCCGGCUAUUAACACAUGUUUGCGCUAAAAUAUGCACUGUCCUUUCAAUAACAUAUAUGUGGUAUUAAAAUACACCAAAUGUUUCCCUUUUAAGCACAUUUUAUAGAAAACUGAUUUACCAGUAGGCCACCAUUGUUAUUUACUUCUCAAUGCACUCUGGGUAGUGACGUCAUACGGUUGCACCGCAUCGAGUUCACAGUUAGCACUGGAAAUGAGUUCUGUUCAACCUUUCCAGUUUGAACCAGAGCAAUCCGAGAGAGAGGAUGAAAAUAGUCAACCAGUAAUUAGUUUAGAUGAAGAUGAAAACAAUCCGUCACACGAGGACGCGAGAGUGAGGGAAAACUUCUGGUGUCUAUGCGGCUACUGCUUGCCAAUGCAAUGCAUAUUACCGCUGUAAUGUAGGUGUCCACCCUAUAGUGUUUGCAAGCUGGUAAACAGAUGGAAAUACCUCGCUAUGAUUACAAAUCAGGAGUUUUAGUGGCUUAAGCAGUUAAUUUUUGCUUUGCUUUGUUUUAUUUGUUGCUUCAAGCCCUGUGUACAGGAGCUGCAUGCAAAAAGAUCUUUUGUUAAAAGGGUUGGCGUAAUAAGCAAAUGCUUCAGCCAAUACCUUUUGAUUAGCCUUGUCUUGUGCUUUCUUGCUUUGUGGUAAUCUUUAUUCUGUAUUCACUGAGAUAUUUGAAUGCUAAUCAAUAAAUCAAUAAAAAAUAAAAAAUAAAUAAUAAAUAAAACAGACAACACCCAGUCUGACAUCCUUUUUUUUUUUUUUUUUUUAAAUGAGUUGCUGUUAUAGCACAAAGGUAUAGAUAUAAAGUUUAUGUAAUAGAUAAGAAGACAAAAAUAAAUUAAAAGAACAUCAAGAGC